GUGCAGGCAAAACUCACCCGCCAGAGGCUGAGCCCGCCUUGUCCCCGCCUCUUGCGGGAAGGAGAAGGAGGAGGAGAAAGAGAGGCAUGGAGGCCCACCUUCCCAAAAUGCAGGCCACAGUCAGACACGCCAAGGCAUCGCAUCACAAAUGGACUUGAAAGCAGGAGAAAAAGUUUUCCAGAUCUUCAAUGUUCAAUGGCAACUUGGCUAUCUUCCAUACAAUUUCGACCCAAUCCUGUUCUUGGGGAAUGCAGAAAACAAGACUGCUGCAUUUGUUACAUAGCAACCUUUUAGCUGUUUGAAAUCCAUUCACAUUUUCUCAGCUGAAUCUUCUGUUUUCCAGACUAAACAUUAUAGUAUAUUCAGCUAUUUGUUGUAGUGUUUGUUUCCAGACUCCUCACAAAUUGGUUUCUCUUCGACGGACACACUCCAGUUUGUCAGUGCGCUUUUUUAAAGUGUGCUCACAAUUGGACAAGUAUUCCAGAUACAGCUGACCACUAGAGACUUCUAUAUGUGGUAAAUCUGGCUGAACUUAAUGAGGUCGCUUCUGACUAAACAUGCAUAGUGUUGUAUAGUAACCGUGUCUUCAGUUUUAAUUAUAUUUUUAAAUGUACUCCUUAUCCAUCCAGAUUUUACAGGUCCAUGAUUUAUUCAUUUGAGAACAGAGAUUCCACUGCAUUGAUCUGUGGCAUUUCAUAUAAAUAGAUUUAAUUCCUAUAAUACCUCCUCCCCCAAAUUUAAUUGGGCCAAUCUAUUGUAUUUCAGCAUAGGCUAUGAUUCAUUCUUUUAACUGUGUUCUAAAACACAGACAUUGAGAGUUUCUCAUCAUUGUCAUCCUAGCAAGCUUUUAAAUAGGCCUUCAUUAUUUUAGUCCCUAACUUCACUUAAUAUGUUUGGACAGAUUCUCACAGUUUCCGUUGCUAAUAUGAUUCCCUGCAAAUAGAGCAGAAGGUUCAGCUGAACAAAAGAAACGAUCUAAUUUUAGUAAUGGCGCAAGCUAUGCCUGUAUAAUCAUGCACUCUUUUCCUUCCGCUUGUGAAUGUCAAAGACUUUCUCCUCCCCAGUGUAAGCUGAAUUCUCAUUUGUAUCAAAAGCAUGCCGGAUUCGGUAAAUAUUCUUAUUUUCUACAAUGCAUUAUACUGCCAAAAGCAUAGGGUCUUUAGAAUAUUGCUUUCACAACUCUAGAAUCUCACUCCAGCAGUUCUGUACAAAUGGGGCAAUCACACGAAACAAUCCUUUCUGAUCAACAGGAGAGAAUCAAUGUGAAGUUCCAUUUCAGAUCCAGUUAUCUUUUCUUCUCUAUUCAUCUGUGUGUUGUAUGAUCAGUAAAAACUAUUCAUUUAUAAAACUGUUUAACUAAAAACAGACCCCUACACCAAUAAGCUUGUGAUCUGAAAUUAUGAUAAGACCACAAAAAGCGACUAGCUGGAGAAGAUAAGGAGUAGAAUUAGCAAAAGGAAGUUACACAUGGACUGAUAUCCAAUUAACCUUCCUUCCAAAAGAACUGAGAAUGGGGAAGGAGCAUCCUGUCUUUGGCACACUAAGAAAUGGCCUCCUGAAAACAAGAUUUCAACAUGCACUUUAUUGUAAAUGUAGAGCAUUGGACUAUGACCCUGGGGAGCAGGGUCCAAAUCCACAUUCAGCCAUGGAAACUCACUUUGGGCAAGUCACAUGCAUCAAACCUCAGAGGAGGGAAAACGAAAAUACGCUCUAAACAAUUCUUGCCAAGACAACUCCUUAUGGUAGCUAUUAGUCAGAAACACCUUGAAAAAAACACAACAACAAAGAGCAAAGAGGGGAAGCUGGGAAGACAUUUCCAUCUGGUCUUCUGUGCCAUCAGCUGGAGGCCACUCCCCCAGUAACAUGCUAUGCUAAUAAUAUAGUAAUAUAUCUAUAUGCGUGUGUGUGUGUGUGUGUGUGUGUGUGUGUGUGUGUGUGUGUGUGUAUAUAUAUAUAUAUAUAUAUAUAUAUAUAUAUAUAUAUAGUAUAUAGUAUAUAUUAUACAAUAUAAUUUACAAUAAUAAAUAAUAAUAUAUUGUAUAUACAUGUAAUAUUGAUAAUAAUAUUAUAAUGUAAUAAAAUAUAAUACUAAUAAUAAUACAAUAUAAUAUUAAUUAUGCAUUAUUUUUACAUGUAAUAUUAUUGGUAAUAUUACAGUAUAAUGAUGUGGUACAAUAUGCUAGUAGAAUGCUAGUGUUGUGCUGUGCUAGUGAUAUAAUACACUGUAUGAAAAUAUUACAGUAGAGCCUCACUUAUCCAAGCCUCUGGAUAAUCCAAGCCAUUUUUGUAGUCAAUGUUUUCAAUAUAUCAUGAUAUUUUGGUGCUAAAUUCGUAAAUACAGUAAUUACAACAUAACAUUACUGCAUAUUGAACUACUUUUUCUGUCAAAUUUGUUGUAUAACAUGAAGUUUUAGUGCUUAAUUUGUAAAAUCAUAACCUAAUUUGAUGUUUAAUAGGCUUUUCCUUAAUCCCUCAUUAUCCAAGUUAUUCGCUUAUCCAAGCUUCUGCCGGCCCGUUUAGCUUGGAUAAGUGAGACUCUACUGUAUUUGCAGCUGUUCUGAGUCCUCUUCAGGGUGAGAAGGGUGGGAUAUAAAUGUAGUAAAUAAAUAAACAAGAUCAUAUUGUAAAAUGUUUGUAAUGGAAUAGCUUCCUUGAGUUAUGACAGAUUGCAAUGUAAUAUUGCCUUCUCAUUUAUAUAAAGCCUAUUGUCAAAUCUCA